rnacentral:rRNA from 1 species
UUAAAUUGAAGAGUUUGAUCAUGGCUCAGAUUGAACGCUGGCGGCAGGCCUAACACAUGCAAGUCGAACGGUAACAGGAAGCAGCUUGCUGCUUUGCUGACGAGUGGCGGACGGGUGAGUAAUGUCUGGGAAACUGCCCGAUGGAGGGGGAUAACUACUGGAAACGGUAGCUAAUACCGCAUAACGUCGCAAGACCAAAGAGGGGGACCUUAGGGCCUCUUGCCAUCGGAUGUGCCCAGAUGGGAUUAGCUAGUAGGUGGGGUAAA